rnacentral:rRNA from 1 species
GACGAACGCUGGCGGCGUGCCUAAUACAUGCAAGUUGAGCGCUGAAGGUUGGUACUUGUACCAACUGGAUGAGCAGCGAACGGGUGAGUAACGCGUGGGGAAUCUGCCUUUGAGCGGGGGACAACAUUUGGAAACGAAUGCUAAUACCGCAUAAAAACUUUAAACACAAGUUUUAAGUUUGAAAGAUGCAAUUGCAUCACUCAAAGAUGAUCCCGCGUUGUAUUAGCUAGUUGGUGAGGUAAAGGCUCACCAAGGCGAUGAUACAUAGCCGACCUGAGAGGGUGAUCGGCCACAUUGGGACGGAGACACGGCCCAAACUCCUACGGGAGGCAGCAGUAGGGAAACUUCGGCAAUGGACGAAAGUCUGACCGAGAAACGCCGCGUGAGUGAAGAAGGUUGUCGGAUCGUAAAACUCGGUUGGUAGAGAAGAACGUUGGUGAGAGUGGAAAGCUCAUCAAGUGACGGUAACUACCCAGAAAGGGACGGCUAACUACGUG